rnacentral:rRNA from 1 species
GACGAACCGUGCGAACGUUGUUCGGAAUCACUGGGCUUAAAGGGCGCGUAGGCGGGCUGUCAAGUCUGGGGUGAAAUGCCGCGGCUCAACCGUGGAACUGCCUUAGAUACUGACGGCCUCGAGGAAGGUAGGGGCAUGCGGAACUGUAGGUGGAGCGGUGAAAUGCGUUGAUAUCUACAGGAACUCCGGUGGCGAAAGCGGCGUGCUGGACCUUUUCUGACGCUGAGGCGCGGAAGCUAGGGGAGCAAACGGG